UUAAUGUACGGCUCUUGGCGGCCGAGGGGGGGCGGGCGGCAGGAGGAGGCAGAGGGCGGCGGAGGAGGAGCCCCCCAGCAGCGAGCGGCGAGCAACUGACCGCGGCCUUCUGACCAGGACCGGAGCAGGGCCCCAAGCCCCGGGCCUGGUGGGGGACGCGCUUCUUCCCACACCCUGAGCCUCAGCAGCUCCAGCCAGCGGACCCGACGGCUGAGAGGAGAAGAUGGGGAGCCCCGAGGAUGAUCUGAUUGGGAUUCCAUUCCCGGACCACAGCAGUGAGCUCCUGAGCUGCCUCAAUGAGCAGCGCCAGCUGGGCCACCUAUGUGACCUCACCAUCCGGACGCAGGGCCUUGAAUACCGCACCCACAGGGCUGUGCUAGCUGCCUGUAGCCACUACUUCAAGAAGCUUUUCACUGAGGGUGGUGGCGGAGCUGUCAUGGGGGCCGGGGGCAGCGGGACGGCCGCUGGGGGAGCAGGGGCCGGAGUGUGUGAGCUGGACUUUGUAGGGCCAGAGGCACUAGGCGCCCUCCUUGAAUUUGCCUAUACAGCCACACUGACCACCAGCAGCGCCAACAUGCCAGCUGUGCUCCAGGCUGCCCGCCUGCUGGAGAUCCCGUGUGUCAUCGCUGCUUGCAUGGAGAUUCUGCAGGGCAGUGGGCUAGAAGCUCCCAGCCCGGACGAGGAUGACUGUGAGCGAGCCCGCCAGUAUCUGGAGGCCUUUGCCACAGCCACGGCCUCUGGAGUUCCCAAUGGUGAAGACAGUCCUCCACAGGUGCCCCUCCCACCACCUCCGCCACCGCCACCUCGGCCUGUUGCCCGCCGCAGCCGCAAGCCCCGGAAAGCUUUCCUGCAAACCAAGGGGGCCAGAGCAA
rnacentral:sRNA from 1 species